ACUAGAAUGGCAGAUUAGUGCACUAGGUUUAAGCCCUAAAUAUGGGGUGUGCCCCUUCUAGUA
rnacentral:tRNA from 1 species